rnacentral:tRNA from 1 species
GUGGCUGUAGCUCAGGGGUAGAGCGCUUGCCUAGUACACAUGAGACACUGAGUUCAAUCCUCAGCACCACA